GGGAAAAAGCCCACCCCACAUCCCCCGAUGCCGAUCCCACCACCUCCCGCACCUCCCUCUCUCCGCCCCGUACCCAACCGGCGGCGCCGGCGCCACCGCCACCAAGCCCCCAACCGGAGACGCGGUGGCCGCCCCCGCCCCAACCGGAGACAUCGCCGCUGCCCCGCCAUGCCUCAGUCGGAGACACCGCGGCCCCAACAUCCCGCCGCCACCGCCGUGGCCCCCAGCUUUCCCCGUCGUCAAUACGCGUCGCCGUCGCGUCAUGCACCACACGCCACCACGCGCCGCUGGAGACAGAGGAAGCUUCCUCGACCACAUCGCCAAAAAUCGUCCACCCCAUCCCCUAUCACUCCCUCCUGUGAGGUAAACGAUGAGAUCCCCCAUCCUCUCUGUACUCCUCCCCAAUCAUGCUUGUAUCUUCAAGAUCUGGGAUGUAGUUCUGGUGGCUUCUUCUCAUUCCACGAACGGGGUUGCUCACUGGAACACACAAGCCGUGGUGGGCUGCAGUUCGGUGGGCACGUGCAAGUAGUUCGUCUUUUCGCCUGGGGCGUCACCCUUUGCAUCGGCGACCACCGGAGCUGGCCUGAGGCGUGGUCCUGCUCGUGGUCCCUUGCUACAUCUUGGCUGAAGAGAUGGAGCUCUGCACAAUGUGUGAAGUUCGACCGGUGAGCCUAUGCAGUCCGACAGCACAUAUUCGGCAGAUGGUGAGCCUCCUCCGCCUGCUUCAGCCACGAGAGCAGCCACUGCUACCCUUGCACUGAUGGAUCAGUCUGGAAAACAGCUCACGGACGGGGUCUCCUCUGUAUGCAGCUAGAGGAGCGCUCGGCCUGCAGCAAGAGGAGGGCACGACCUGUAGCUGCAUGGCCACAUCCAGCAGAGAAGAUAGAGGCAGCUGAAAAACGGAUCUGGCACGCGCCCCUUCGGCCAAGGGGCUGCCGAGCUGCUCGGUCGCCGGCCACCAGCAGCAGCAGGUCAUCUUUCCACACCUCCUCGUACAAAACGCUGACGACGCCAAGCUUCUCGGCCCCUUUGCCCUCCACCAGUGAUACUUUGCAGAAAACGAGCUCUGGUCCCAGCAGAGGUUCAUGUAUUGUUGUUCACGAGGGUAGUUUAUCUAAGUUGAUGCAAAAAAAGUUUGUUUUGUAAUUCAUGGAAGUUUGAUGCCUAUUUUUUCGAGAAUGAAACUGUUUUCAUUUCAUGAAAGCUAAAAAUAAAAGUUGUGGA